AAAGUGAGGCAGGGGAGAGAUAAUGACCUUGAAGGCGGCUUUCCCAGGGCGAGGCUUAUCCACCGCACUCCAGAUGUGCUGGCCCCUGUGAUUUCCCCAAAUGCAGGAAACUUGAUCGCAUAAUUUGUGGUGGGGAGAACUGCGUUUGUGCUCUCUCCUG
ensembl:snRNA U1 U1 spliceosomal RNA